GAUGAAGAACGUAGCGAAAUGCGAUACUUGGUGUGAAUUGCAGAAUCCCGUGAACCAUCGAGUCUUUGAACGCAAGUUGCGCCUCAAGCCAUUAGGUUGAGGGCACGUCUGCCUGGGCGUCACAUAUCGUUGCCUGAUGCCAGUUUCCUCGUGAUGGGUGACUGUGCAGGGCGAAUGAUGGCUUCCCGUGAGCAUUGUUGCCUCAUGGUUGGUUGAAAAUUGAGUCCUUGGUAGGGAGCGCCGUGAUAGAUGGUGGUUGAGUGACGAACGAGACCCAAUCAUGUGAGACCCCUACCGAAUUUGGCCUUCAUGACCCACAUGCGUCUUUGGAACGCUCAUGACGAGACCUCAGGUCAGGCGGGGCUACCCGCUGAGUUUAAGCAUAUCAAUAAGCGGGGA
rnacentral:misc_RNA from 1 species